rnacentral:rRNA from 1 species
AACGAACGCUGGCGGCAUGCCUAACACAUGCAAGUCGAACGAGACCUUCGGGUCUAGUGGCGCACGGGUGCGUAACGCGUGGGAACCUGCCCUUAGGUUCGGAAUAACUCCCCGAAAGGGGUGCUAAUACCGGAUAAUGUCUUCGGACCAAAGAUUUAUCGCCUUUGGAUGGGCCCGCGUUGGAUUAGCUAGUUGGUAGGGUAAAAGCCUACCAAGGCGCCGAUCCAUAGCUGGUCUGAGAGGAUGAUCAGCCACACUGGGACUGAGACACGGCCCAGACUCCUACGGGAGGCAGCAGUGGGGAAUAUUGGACAAGGGGCGAAAGCCUGAUCCAGCAAUGCCGCGUGAGUGAUGAAGGCCUUAGGGUUGUAAAGCUCUUUUACCCGGGAUGAUAAUGACAGUACCGGGAGAAUAAGCUCCGGCUAACUCCGUG